rnacentral:misc_RNA from 1 species
UCUCCGUAGGUGAACCUGCGGAAGGAUCAUUAUUGUAUGACCGAGUUGCGAGCGCUGUCUCUGACCCGAAAGUUUGUUGACGCUCGAGUGUUCUCACACACAUCCAUCUCACCACUAUGUGCACAACCGCGUGUGUCGCCCUUUGCCUUGUUCGGAGCGGGUCUUACGUUAUCACACAGUCUUUGUAUGCAGUGUAAAAUGAGUUAUUUAUUUUUGCGCUCACGCUCUCCAUACACUUUUCAACAACGGAACUCCAGGCUCUCGCAAUGAUGAAGAACC